rnacentral:rRNA from 1 species
GACGAACGCUGGCGGCGUGCUUAACACAUGCAAGUCGAACGGAAAGGCCCUGCUUGCAGGGUACUCGAGUGGCGAACGGGUGAGUAACACGUGGGUGAUCUGCCCUGCACUUCGGGAUAAGCCUGGGAAACUGGGUCUAAUACCGGAUAUGACCUUCCAUGUAGUGUGGGGGGUGGAAAGAUUUAUCGGUGUGGGAUGAGCCCGCGGCCUAUCAGCUUGUUGGUGGGGUAAUGGCCUACCAAGGCGUCGACGGGUAGCCGGCCUGAGAGGGUGGACGGCCACAUUGGAACGGAGAUACGGCCAGACUCCUACGGGAGGCAGCAGUGGGGAAUAUUGCACAAUGGGCGGAAGCCUGAUGCAGCGACGCCGCGUGGGGGAUGACGGCCUUCGGGUUGUAAACCUCUUUCGACAGGGACGAAGCUUCGGUGACGGUACCUGUAGAAGAAGCACCGGCUAACUACGUG